UAACGGGCCCGGGACAAUCAACGCCUGCCACGGGGAGCCACAGCCGCGACGCCUAAGGCAGAUAAAAGGCGGUCGUUCUCCCCCGUCAGAGGGCACUCGGAGGCGGCACGAGAAGGGAAGACGCUGAGGGCAACGCUAGCGAGCAGAAAGAAGAGGAAUGAGCAGAACGGGAUCCUCUGAUCACAGACUGGCACUGGACCCUUGCUCCCGUGCCUGACAGUCCAGCAACCCGGUGAGUCUGACCCGGCUCCGGCGACCCAACUCCUUGAGGAUGGGAAUCGUGUCUACUGACUGCACCAUUCUACUCUCUCGAAUACUUCGGUGCUUUGCUCUGCGAACGGAAAGCGCUCAGUAGAUACCAAUAUUUGAACGAGUCCGGCUGCCAAGAGAGGAGAAAACCGUCUUUUCGGCCAGCUGGGAGACAGGGUGGCUGGAGAUGGAGAUGAUGCUAAUGAAAACCAUUUAAAAUUAAAGUUCAAAUGCAUGCCAA